rnacentral:lncRNA from 1 species
UGGGUGGAAGAGUUCGAUGUAGACAGCAACAUUGGACUGAGAGCGAACUUGAACUUCGUCAAGGAGAUCCAAAAGCGAGCAUGGAUUUGGAUGGCCAACUAUUAACAAAGAGUAGCUCGGUACUACAACUCCUAAGUCAAAGAUAAAUCAUUCUUGAUUGGAUGAUUAGUUCUUUGUCGAUCUAAAGUAUCUCGCUUGACUGAA